UUUUCCUCCGCUUAUUGAUAUGCUU
rnacentral:rRNA from 1 species